ACUCCUACGGGAGGCAGCAGUGGGAAUUUUGGACAAUGGGCGAAAGCCUGAUCCAGCAAUGCCGCGUGUGUGAAGAAGGCCUUCGGGUUGUAAAGCACUUUUGUCCGGAAAGAAAUCCUUGGCUCUAAUACAGUCGGGGGAUGACGGUACCGGAAGAAUAAGCACCGGCUAACUACGUGCCAGCAGCCGCGGUAAUACGUAGGGUGCAAGCGUUAAUCGGAAUUACUGGGCGUAAAGCGUGCGCAGGCGGUUUGCUAAGACCGAUGUGAAAUCCCCGGGCUCAACCUGGGAACUGCAUUGGUGACUGGCAGGCUAGAGUAUGGCAGAGGGGGUAGAAUUCCACGUGUAGCAGUGAAAUGCGUAGAGAUGUGGAGGAAUACCGAUGGCGAAGGCAGCCCCCUGGGCCAAUACUGACGCUCAUGCACGAAAGCGUGGGGAGCAAACAGGAUUAGAUACCCUGGUAGGCUCUGC
rnacentral:rRNA from 1 species